GCCCAGCUAGCUCAGUCAGUAGAACAUGAGACUCUUAAUCUCAGGAUGGUGGGUUUGAGCCCCACGCUGGGCA